UGUUGCUCUCACUUUCACGUGGCCCUACCGGAUAUUUGACACAUUCCAAUGGUUACAUUGUCAAUGGAUAUAGAUUUCAUGCAGAAGAUCAUGAUAAAAACUUAAGGACUCAAAAUUGUGGUGUUGUUGUAGUUGGUGAGAAUGAUAAAGAUAGUGAGAACCUUGAUUACAAUGGAGUUUUAAUAGAUGUGAUUGAAUUACAAUUUGUCAUGCAUAGAAGAGUGAUUUUGUUUUGAUGUAAUUGGUUUGAUGUGUAUGAUAAAAUAAAAGGAGUUAAAAAAUAUGAAUAUGACUUUGUGAGUGUUAAUCCAAGGAGAUUUUUGAAAACAAAUGAGCCUUUUGUUUUAGCGGAGCAAGCAUCUCAAGUGUUUUAUGCUAAUGAUAAUUCCAACAAAGGUUGGCAUGUAGUGAGGAAGACUCAACCUCGUGAUUCCUAUGAGAUUGUGAAACAAAUGGAUGAUGAUAUUGUAGACUUAGGAAAUCCUUCUCAAAAGAAACAAAAAAGAACUGAUAAGGUUCAUUAUGAAACCAUUAAAGACUGAAAAUAAAGUGGGAUCAAGUAUGAAGACUACUACCAGAUAUGCAUUCGUCGCGCCAGGUGCUAUAAGAAAGGAACGAGGACGAGGAGGGCUUAGAUCUUUGAUUGGGAAAGAGAAUAUGCCAACUAAGAGUUUAUUUCCUCAAUCUAGUGUUAUAGUUAAGCAAUACAUCCAAGAAAUUGAAACAAGUGCUAUAGAGAAGGGACGGGGACAGGGGCUUAAAAACUCUACGAUAUCUUCUAGUCAACGAAUAGGAAUGAUACAUAAAAAUUACAUGGUUCUUGAGAAAGAGUAUAUGGAAAGUGAUAGUCCAUUGCUUCCAUCCACUGAUCAACUUACGCAAUACACCCAAAAAAUUGAAAC